GAUGAACGCUGGCGGCGUGCCUAAUACAUGCAAGUCGAGCGAACGGACGAGAAGCUUGCUUUUCUGAUGUUAGCGGCGGACGGGUGAGUAACACGUGGAUAACCUACCUAUAAGACUGGGAUAACUUCGGGAAACCGGAGCUAAUACCGGAUAAUAUUUUGAACCGCAUGGUUCAAAAGUGAAAGACGGUCUUGCUGUCACUUAUAGAUGGAUCCGCGCUGCAUUAGCUAGUUGGUAAGGUAACGGCUUACCAAGGCAACGAUGCAUAGCCGACCUGAGAGGGUGACCGCCCACACUGAAACUGAGCACCGGACCAGCCUCCGACGGGGGGCGGAGGUGGGGAUUCUUCCGAAAGGGGAGAAGGCCGAAGGGGGCACCGCCGGGGGAGGGAUGAGGGUGUUGGGCUCGUAAACCUCUUUUAUUGGAGAAAAACAUAUGUGUAAGUAAGUGUGCACUUCUUGACGGUACCUAAUCAAAAAGCCACGGCUAACUACGUG
rnacentral:rRNA from 1 species